CGGGUGAGUAAUGCUUGGGAAUAUGCCUUAGGGUGGGGGAACAAACCAUUUGGAAACGACUGCUAAUACCGCAUAACGUCUACGGACCAAAGGGGGCUUCGGCUCUCGCCCUUAGAUUAGCCCAAGUGGGAUUAGCUAGUUGGUGAGGUAAUGGCUCACCAAGGCGACGAUCCCUAGCUGGUUUGAGAGGAUGAUCAGCCACACUGGAACUGAGACACGGUCCAGACUCCUACGGGAGGCAGCAGUGGGGAAUAUUGCACAAUGGGCGCAAGCCUGAUGCAGCCAUGCCGCGUGUGUGAAGAAGGCCUUAGGGUUGUAAAGCACUUUCAGUAAGGAGGAAAGGUUAGUAGUUAAUACCUGCUAGCUGUGACGUUACUUACAGAAGAAGCACCGGCUAACUCCGUGCCAGCAGCCGCGGUAAUACGGAGGGUGCGAGCGUUAAUCGGAAUUACUGGGCGUAAAGCGUACGCAGGCGGUUUGUUAAGCGAGAUGUGAAAGCCCCGGGCUCAACCUGGGAACUGCAUUUCGAACUGGCAAACUAGAGUAUGAUAGAGGGUGGUAGAAUUUCAGGUGUAGCGGUGAAAUGCGUAGAGAUCUGAAGGAAUACCGAUGGCGAAGGCAGCCACCUGGGUCAAUACUGACGCUCAUGUACGAAAGCGUGGGGAGCAAACGGGAUUAGGAUACCCCGGUAGUCCACGCCGUAAACGAUGUCUACUAGGAGCUGGGGUCUUCGGACAACUUUUCCAAAGCUAACGCAUUAAGUAGACCGCCUGGGGAGUACGGGCCGCAAAGGUUAAAACUCAAAUGAAUUGACGGGGGCCCGCACAAGCGGUGGAGCAUGUGGUUUA
rnacentral:rRNA from 1 species